rnacentral:snoRNA from 1 species
CAGCAUGUUCCCAAGGGCUGUGGCUUCUUGUGGCCAUGGGAUCUCCAACUGCAUGCAAGAGAAACCUGGAGAGACUUUGACAGCUCAGGUCACCCCAAUAUCUGCAGCUGCCACUCGCCUUUCCUAUAAUG